GACGAACGCUGGCGGCGUGCCUAAUACAUGCAAGUCGAACGAGAGCGCCCGGUGCUUGCACUGGUCUAUCUAGUGGCGAACGGGUGUGUAACACGUGGGUCCUCCGCCUAUCAGAGGGGGAUAACCUCCGGACACGGGUGCUUAACCCGCAUAGGUCUUCGCACCGCAUGGUUUGUAGGGGAAAAGCGGCGCAUGCUUCUGCUGUUGCGUGGACCCGCGUUGCAUUAGCUAGUUGGUGGGGUCAAGGCUCACCCAGGCCGUGAUGCAUAGACGAACUGCGGGAGUGAUCGGCCACAUUGGGGCGGAGACGCGGCCCAAGCUCCUACGGGAGGCAGCAGUAGGGAAUCGGCCGCAAUGGACGCAAGUCUGGCGGAGCAACGCCGCGUGAGUGAAGAAGGUUUUCGGAGCGUAAAACUCUGUUGUUAGAGAAGAACAAGUGCUAGAGUAACUGAUGGCGGCGUGACGGUAUCUAACCAAAAAGCCACGGCUAACUACGUG
rnacentral:rRNA from 1 species